rnacentral:rRNA from 1 species
UACGGAGGGUGCGAGCGUUAAUCGGAUUUACUGGGCGUAAAGGGCGCGUAGGCGGUUAUAUGAGUGUGAUGGGAAAGCCCUGGGCUUAACCUAGGAAGUGCAUCGCAAACGAUAUGACUGGAGUACUAGAGAGGGUAGCGGAAUUUCCGGUGUAGCGGUGAAAUGCGUAGAGAUCGGAAGGAACGUCAAUGGCGAAGGCAGCUGCCUGGAUAGAUACUGACGCUGAGGCGCGAGAGCGUGGGGAGCAAACAGG